AAGCCAAGCACUGAACACAAAGCGAACUAUUCUUUCGCCUUUUUCGUUUAGAUACCGCGUGUUCUUUGCAAUAUGUGGCAUACGCCAAUUUUUUUGGGUCCUCUAAUCGGAGGCAC